rnacentral:RNase_P_RNA from 1 species
GGAUAGAUAGAAAGCGGCUGCCCGCCGGUUACCUCCGGCGGGAGGAAAGUCCGGGCUCCCGUGGGUAACGUAGUGGGUAACGCCCACCCCGGUCCUUCACCGGACCGGAGGAAUCCCCGUAAGGGGACCCGCUUUAAUCAGCGGGAGAGCUACAGAGACGAGUUUCCCGGAGCGAUCCGGGAAAGUGAAACGCCGCAAUCUCUACGUGGAGCAAGGCCGAAUAGGAGAUGAGGGAUUACCCGUCCCGCUAUCAGUCUCGGGUAGGCUGCUCGAUUGCGAUGGCAACAUCGCAGGUUCAGAGGAAUCGCCGCUUGGCGCAGGAUAGAACCUUCGCCAGACAGAACCCGGCUUAUUCUAUCUAUCCCGGU